AAAUUGAAGAGUUUGAUCAUGGCUCAGAUUGAACGCUGGCGGCAGGCCUAACACAUGCAAGUCGAACGGUAGCACAGAGAGCUUGCUCUCGGGUGACGAGUGGCGGACGGGUGAGUAAUGUCUGGGAAACUGCCUGAUGGAGGGGGAUAACUACUGGAAACGGUGGCUAAUACCGCAUAACGUCGCAAGACCAAAGAGGGGGACCUUCGGGCCUCUUGCCAUCAGAUGUGCCCAGAUG
rnacentral:rRNA from 5 species